rnacentral:rRNA from 1 species
AUAGCUCAUUACAACAGCCGUUGUUUCUUGGAUCUCUUCUCUACUUGGAUAACUGUGGUAAUUCUAGAGCUAAUACAUGCAAUCAAGCCCUGAACUUACGUGACGGGCGCAUUUAUUAGAACAAAACCAUCCGGCUUUGCCGUGCUUUGGUGACUCUGAAUAACUGAGCCGAUCGCACGGGCUUGUCCCGGCGACAUAUCUUUCAAGUGUCUGCCUUAUCAGGUUUCGUUGGCGGUUUAUGUGACCGCCAAGCCUGUAACGGGUAACGGAGGAUCAGGGUCUGACUCCGGAGAGGGAGCCUGAGAAACGGCUACCACUUCUAAGGAAGGCAGCAGGCGCGCAAAUUACCCACUCUUGGAGCAAGGAGGUAGUGACGAAAAAUACCAAGGUCAGGCUCAUUGAGCUUGACCAUUGGAAUGAGAACAAUCUAAAUCCUUUAACGAGGAUCUAGUGGAGGGCAAGUCUGGUGCCAGCAGCCGCGGUAAUUCCAGCUCCGCAAGUGUAUUCCUAUACUGUUGCGUUUAAAUAGCUCGUAGUUGGAUCUGCGUGUUUAGCGCGUGGUGCUGCUUUUUGUGGUUACUGCGACGCGACACAGUGUUGCUUUCUGCCACGAUGCUCUCGCGAGUGUCGUGUCGAUAAGCAGAGUUUACUUUGAACAAAUCAGAGUGCUCAAAACGGGCGUUUCGCUCGAAUGUUCUUGCAUGGAAUAAUGGAAUAGGACCUCGUGUUCUAUUUUGUUGGUUUUCGGGACCGAGGUAAUGAUUAAGAGGGACAGACGGGGGCAUUUGUACUGCGACGUGAGAGGUGAAAU